AUCUCAUGGUGUGGACAUUGCAUCAAUAGUUCCUUGAAUCUUUCCCAAGCAUAAAAAAAACUCAUCCUAUCCUUGCCUAAAUGAACUGAUUUCAUUUCUCAUAUU